UUAUCGGAGAGUUUGAUCCUGGCUCAGGACGAACGCUGGCGGCGUGACUAAUACAUGCAACUCGAGAGAACAG
rnacentral:rRNA from 1 species